GACGAACGCUGGCGGCGUGCCUAAUACAUGCAAGUAGAACGCACAGUUUAUACCGUAGCUUGCUACACCAUAAACUGUGAGUUGCGAACGGGUGAGUAACGCGUAGGUAACCUGCCUGGUAGCGGGGGAUAACUAUUGGAAACGAUAGCUAAUACCGCAUAAUAUUGAUUAUUGCAUGAUAAUUGAUUGAAAGAUGCUAUUGCAUCACUACCAGAUGGACCUGCGUUGUAUUAGCUAGUAGGUGAGGUAACGGCUCACCUAGGCGACGAUACAUAGCCGACCUGAGAGGGUGAUCGGCCAAACUGGGACUGAGACACGGCCCAGACUCCUACGGGAGGCAGCAGUAGGGAAUCUUCGGCAAUGGACGAAAGUCUGACCGAGCAACGCCGCGUGAGUGAAGAAGGUUUUCGGAUCGUAAAGCUCUGUUGUAAGAGAAGAACGGGUGUGAGAGUGGAAAGUUCACACUGUGACGUUAUCUUACCAGAAAGGGACGGCUAACUACGUG
rnacentral:rRNA from 1 species